GACGAACGCUGGCGGCGUGCUUAACACAUGCAAGUCGAGCGGUAAGGCCCUUUCGGGGGUACACGAGCGGCGAACGGGUGAGUAACACGUGGGUGGCCUGCCCUCAGCUCUGGGAUAAGCCUGGGGAACUGGGUCUAAUACCGGAUAUGACUCCAUGACGCAUGUUGUGGGGUGGAAAGCCUUGUGCGGCUGAGGAUGGGCCCGCGGCCUAUCAGCUUGUUGGUGGGGUGANGGCCUACCAAGGCGACGACGGGUAGCCGGCCUGAGAGGGCGAUCGGCCACACUGGGACUGAGACACGGCCCAGACUCCUACGGGAGGCAGCAGUGGGGAAUCUUGCGCAAUGGGCGAAAGCCUGACGCAGCGACGCCGCGUGAGGGAUGACGGCCU
rnacentral:rRNA from 1 species